GUCCUGGGAUGGGAAUCGAACACACAGUGUUCCGCUUACCGGGCAGAUGCCAUGUCCACUAGGCUACCCUGGA
rnacentral:tRNA from 1 species